rnacentral:rRNA from 1 species
CCUACGGGUGGCAGCAGUGGGGACUAUUGGGCAAUGGGCGCAAGCCUGACCCAGCAACGCCGCGUGAAGGCAGACGGCCCUCGGGUUGUAAACUUCUUUUUUCAAGGACGCAACAUAUGACGGUACUUGAUGACUCAGCAAUGUCUAAAUACGUGCCAGCAGCCGCGGCAAUACGUAGGUGGCAGGCGUUAUCCGGAUUUACUGGGUGUAAAGGGCGGGUAGGCGGGACUGCAAGUGAGAUGUGAAAACCAUGGGGUCAACCCAUGGCCUGCAGUUGAAACUGUAGUUCUUGAGUGUUGGAGAGGCAGGCGGAAUGCCGUGUGUAGCGGUGAAAUGCGUAGAUAUACGGAGGAACACCAGUGGCGAAGGCGGCCUGCUGGACAAUAACUGACGCUGAGGCGCGAAAGCGUGGGGAGCAAACAGGAUUAGAUACCCCAGUAGUC